GAAGACGUUUCUGACACAAAACCCCAGGGGAAUCCACGGAGGAGCUGGGCUGUCAUUACUUAUUAACGGUGGGCCUGAUCCCCAGCCAGGCUGGCCCAGGGAAAUAGCCUGUAGGGAGGCCGGCCUCGCUGCUACCAGGUGGAUUAACACUUUCAGGGCGGGAGGGAGCUGUUUGGGGGGGGUCAAUUGUCACAUUGUUGCAUGUAAGAGGGGCCAUUCUUUACACAUUAGACACAGGCGCCUUCUUCCUCGGCGUUCCCUCCCCCUCGGCGUCUGCAUUCUUCUCUUCCCUUCUCCUCCUGCCCGCUCUGGUUUUAAGCCAGCAAACCCACAGGAUGUGGGAGACUGCGCUCGCUCACGGGGAAGAGGAAGAUCUGAGAAAGCACACGGCCCGGAACCUGGGGAUGAUGUCUUCGGAGAGGGCCCGAGGAGGCGGGGAGAGGGAGAGGCAGCGGAGGGGCAGCGGGAGCCGGUACAUCCCGCUUGCAGACCGGGAAAGGUUGGAUUCACAAACUGGAGCCUGUUGUCUUGGGGUUGGGGGAAGUUAAAAAAAAAACCUCAGCUCUCCGAAGUGUCCGCAGCAAGGAGGCCUCUGGUGCUGCUUUGGAGCCGCAGUGCAUGGGCACCUCGAACUGCACCGCUACGUGUCCCCACGUUUCCAGCUCAGAGGAAGCUUGGUUAG
rnacentral:lncRNA from 1 species